UACGUAGGGUGCAAGGCGUUGUCCGGAAUUAUUGGGCGUAAAAGAGCUCGUAGGCGGUUUGUCGCGUCUGCCGUGAAAGUCCGGGACUCAACUCCGGAUCUGCGGUGGUACGGCAGACUAGAGUGAUGUAGGGAGACUGGAAUUCUGGUGUAGCGUGAAUGCGCAGAUAUCAGAGACACGAUGCGAGCAGUCUCUGGGGGGCAUAACUGACGCUGAGAGCGAAAAAGCGUGGGGGAGCGAAAAACAGGGGGAUUUUUUAGACUACCGUGU
rnacentral:rRNA from 1 species